AUUGAACGCUGGCGGCAUGCCUUACACAUGCAAGCCGAACGGCAGCACGGGAGCAAUCCUGGUGGCGAGUGGCGAACGGGUGAGUAAUACAUCGGAACGUGCCCAAUCGUGGGGGAUAACGCAGCGAAAGCUGUGCUAAUACCGCAUACGAUCUACGGAUGAAAGCAGGGGAUCGCAAGACCUUGCGCGAAUGGAGCGGCCGAUGGCAGAUUAGGUAGUUGGUGAGGUAAAGGCUCACCAAGCCGUCGAUCUGUAGCUGGUCUGAGAGGACGACCAGCCACACUGGGACUGAGACACGGCCCAGACUCCUACGGGAGGCAGCAGUGGGGAAUUUUGGACAAUGGGCGAAAGCCUGAUCCAGCCAUGCCGCGUGCAGGAUGAAGGCCUUCGGGUUGUAAACUGCUUUUGUACGGAACGAAACGGCCUUUUCUAAUAAAGAGGGCUAAUGACGGUACCGUAAGAAUAAGCACCGGCUAACUACGUGCCAGCAGCCGCGGUAAUACGUAGGGUGCAAGCGUUAAUCGGAAUUACUGGGCGUAAAGCGUGCGCAGGCGGUUAUGUAAGACAGUUGUGAAAUCCCCGGGCUCAACCUGGGAACUGCAUCUGUGACUGCAUAGCUAGAGUACGGUAGAGGGGGAUGGAAUUCCGCGUGUAGCAGUGAAAUGCGUAGAUAUGCGGAGGAACACCGAUGGCGAAGGCAAUCCCCUGGACCUGUACUGACGCUCAUGCACGAAAGCGUGGGGAGCAAACAGG
rnacentral:rRNA from 1 species